UACAGGAGGCUAACUGCAGCAGCAGGCAGCUUUCAGGGUGAAGGGGGUACACUGUGUCGUCGGAAGGAACUGACGAAGUGAGUGAUCCAGAAUGAGUCCUGGGAAACCCCUAUUGUUUGCAUUUUGCUGUGUCUAAUAGCCUGAGACUUGACGUUCCAAAUCAGACAUUAUUUGUCCUGUAGAAAGUGCUGUGUUGAUUUCAACAGCGAAUUGCAUUGAUAGCAUUUUAACCAUCGUGUUUGGAGAAGCUCGCAUCCUUUUCUGGGUUUGACUGUUGAAGAUUGGACAAGCAUCAGAAAUGUUUCCUGCAUUGUCAACUUCAUUACCCGUUGCACAGAUGUUCCCAGGUGUUCAACAAGAGACACCUACUGAAGAGACUCUUCACAGGUAAUUU